rnacentral:rRNA from 1 species
AGAGUUUGAUCAUGGCUCAGGACGAACGCUGGCGGCGUGCCUAAUACAUGCAAGUCGAGCGGACUUGAUGAGAAGCUUGCUUCUCUGAUGGUUAGCGGCGGACGGGUGAGUAACACGUAGGCAACCUGCCUGCAAGCCUGGGAUAACUGCGGGAAACCGCAGCUAAUACCGGAUACGCAGUUGAGAUGCAUAUCUUAACUGGGAAAGGCGGAGCAAUCUGUCGCUUGUAGAUGGGCCUGCGGCGCAUUAGCUAGUUGGUGAGGUAACGGCUCACCAAGGCGACGAUGCGUAGCCGACCUGAGAGGGUGAUCGGCCACACUGGGACUGAGACACGGCCCAGACUCCUACGGGAGGCAGCAGUAGGGAAUCUUCCGCAAUGGACGCAAGUCUGACGGAGCAACGCCGCGUGAGUGAGGAAGGCCUUCGGGUCGUAAAGCUCUGUUGCCAGGGAAGAAUGUCGAGGAGAGUAACUGCUCUUCGAAUGACGGUACCUGAGAAGAAAGCCCCGGCUAACUACGUGCCAGCAGCCGCGGUA